AGGAAGGGGAGGUGGUCGGGGAGGAAAGGACAGUAGAAUGAAUCUGACAUUACUCCCUGUGUGCACAUAUGAUUACACGAUCAGUGAGCUUCUACCUCACGUACAACCAGAAGAAUGAGAAGUCAGGCUCCAUUCAUGUGUGAAGUGUCAAGAUGCAUCCUAGUAUCAUGUGUAACUAAUUAGAACAAAUAAAAAAAUGAAGACUAAGGGUCAGAGAUUUCAAACCACUGGCUUAAGUCACAAGACUGAUAAAUACAGAACAGAGUGGAGCCAGAGCUGAUAAUGAUGCUAUUGGGAUAAUUUCUCCAGCUGAAGAGUCUGUUUCCUUAGAGUUGAUUUCACAGUGUUAACAAAUAAGUGGUCAAAGAGCUAUUUAUGAUAAUAAUAAAAUGAAAAAUAAAAAACUUUACCUCUUAGCAAACUUUCAAAUCUAAUCGGACUCAGCUAUUAGUGACGAUGAUGAAGAUGGUGGUGAAGGUGGUAGCCUACGGUGUAUCAUAUGCCAGUCAAGUUCUCUGAGGUUCAUUUAAGCCGACAAUGACCCAGUGAGGCAGGUUCUGCCACCACCUCCAUCUCAGAUGACAAGACUGAGGCACAGAGAAGGCGCCUGAGGGAGGCCCGCUGUGUCCACCACCCAGCAGUGGUCAAGGUGCCGCAGCGGUGAUGGGCAGGGGCUCCUGGACCCGAGAGCCUUCCCCAAGCCGCUGUACUUGCCAGGGUCCCUCCCACCUCUGCCCCCAGGCCCUCGCUGGGCUCCACCUCGACCUUGGACUUCCCAGCCACCAGAAUUGUAAAACAAUGAGCUUCUGUGUCUCCUAAUUCCCUGGUCUGGGGUGCUGCUUUGUCAGAGCCGCCCGAGGCUGACCCAGGCAAGCCCUACCUGGGACAGCAGGGCCACUGCACACCUGUGCCCUCAGCACACAGGCUCUGCCAGGCGUCCACCAGUGAAUUGGACACGGUCAGCAGGACACAGAGCCUGCCCGGCAGGUCCCAAGGGCACCCAAGGGUAUGUUCAUGGCUACGAAGCCUGUGAAAUGCCAGGGAGGGGUCAGCUGAGGAGUGGAAGGCAUGGAACUCUGCGUCAAGUCGAGACGGUACAUUUUGUAGAUGGUACAAAACACAGUGGCGCCUCCUGUAAUGCCAGCAGCUUGAGACGCUGAGGCAGGAGGAUUACGAGUUCAAAGCCAGCCUCAGCAACUUAGUGAGUCCCUAAGCAACUCCGUGAGACCCUGUCUCUAAAUACAAGAUUAAAAAGGCUGGGGAUGUGCCUCGGGGGUUAGGGCCCUGCAUUCAAUCCCCCGUCCCAAAGAAAGGGGGGACCCACACAUGGUGCAGUGGGGGCUGCGGAAGCCAGGCUCUGCCUGGAAGGUGGGAGGCAGCUCACCUCACAAUGAAGAGCACGACCCGGACUCUGGCUGCUGCCGAUUCAGGGCCAUCCAUUCCAGCUGCUCUGGGGUCCCCUGGAGCCUCUACCUUUUCUCUGUCAGCAGAUACGACAGUCUCACGAAUCCGAAGUCAAAAUGGAGCCCUCCCCUGAGCUGUGGACCCUCAGCUUCUAGACCUGAUCCCCUGAAGACGGAGACAGGCAGAAAACCAAACCAAGCCCAGAGAUCUGGCGAGGGGCAUUGAUCUGUCUACUUCAGAGGCUUCCCUCUAAGCUGGCUUCGCUGACGUCCAAGAGUACCUUCUAGAACAUUCUUCAGCACAGGAACAACUGGAGGUCCAAAGCAGAGAGGCACAAAGGAUCUCUGGCGGAAGAUCAUUCCGAGGCUGACCAGCUGACCAGAGAGAAGGACAGAGCCUGGGAGCAGAGGUCAAAGGCACUGGCCCUGACGCCUGCACCCCACCGGCCCCUGGGCGGCGUGGCCUCUGGAAAGCCCAUUGACCUUCAUGGAAGGUCGAACUCAAGUGGCCCAGGAGAGG